rnacentral:rRNA from 1 species
AUUGAACGCUGGCGGCAGGCCUAACACAUGCAAGUCGAGCGGAUGAAGGGAGCUUGCUCCUGGAUUCAGCGGCGGACGGGUGAGUAAUGCCUAGGAAUCUGCCUGGUAGUGGGGGAUAACGUCCGGAAACGGGCGCUAAUACCGCAUACGUCCUGAGGGAGAAAGUGGGGGAUCUUCGGACCUCACGCUAUCAGAUGAGCCUAGGUCGGAUUAGCUAGUUGGUGGGGUAAAGGCCUACCAAGGCGACGAUCCGUAACUGGUCUGAGAGGAUGAUUAGUCACACUGGAACUGAGAAACGGUCCAGACUCCUACGGGAGGCAGCAGUGGGGAAUAUUGGACAAUGGGCGAAAGCCUGAUCCAGCCAUGCCGCGUGUGUGAAGAAGGUCUUCGGAUUGUAAAGCACUUUAAGUUGGGAGGAAGGGCAGUAAGUUAAUACCUUGCUGUUUUGACGUUACCAACAGAAUAAGCACCGGCUAACUUCGUG